AGAGUUUGAUCAUGGCUCAGAACGUACGCUGGCGGCACGCCUAAUACAUGCAAGUCGAACGAAGUAGCAAUACUUAGUGGCAGACGGGUGAGUAACAUGUGGGUAUCUUCCCUUUGGUGAGGAAUAACACGAGGAAACUUGUGCUAAUACCUCAUAAGUCUUUACGGAGAAAGCUUUAUGCGCCAUUGGAUGAGCCUGCACUUGAUUAGUUUGUUGGUGGGGUAAUGGCCUACCAAGACAAUGAUCAAUAGCUGAUUUGAGAGGAUGAUCAGCCACAUUGGGACUGAGACACGGCCCAAACUCCUACGGGAGGCAGCAGUAGGGAAUCUUGCACAAUGGAGGAAACUCUGAUGCAGCGAUGCCGCGUGAGUGAAGAAGGCCUUUGGGUUGUAAAGCUCUUUCGUCGGGGAAGAAAAUGACUGUACCCGAAUAAGAAGGUCCGGCUAACUUCGUGCCAGCAGCCGCGGUAAUACGAAGGGACCUAGCGUAGUUCGGAAUUACUGGGCUUAAAGAGUUCGUAGGUGGUUAAAAAAGUUGGUGGUGAAAUCCCAGAGCUUAACUCUGGAACUGCCAUCAAAACUUUUUAGCUAGAGUAUGAUAGAGGAAAGCGGAAUUUCUAGUGUAGAGGUGAAAUUCGUAGAUAUUAGAAAGAACACCAAUUGCGAAGGCAGCUUUCUGGAUCAUUACUGACACUGAGGAGCGAAAGCAUGGGUAGCGAAGAGGAUUAGAUACCCUCGUAGUCCAUGCCGUAAACGAUGUGUGCUAGACGUUGGAAAUUUUUUUUUCAGUGUCGCAGCAAAAGCGUUAAGCACACCGCCUGGGGAGUACGACCGCAAGGUUAAAACUCAAAUGAAUUGACGGGGACCCGCACAAGUAGUGGAGCAUGUGGUUUAAUUCGAAGAUACGCGCAGAACCUUACCAACACUUGACAUGUUCGUCGCGACUCUAAGAGAUUAGAGUUUUCGGUUCGGCCGGACGAAACACAGGUGCUGCAUGGCUGUCGUCAGCUCGUGUCGUGAGAUGUUGGGUUAAGUCCC
rnacentral:rRNA from 1 species